rnacentral:rRNA from 1 species
CACCGGGAGCUUGCUCCACCGAAAGAAAAAGAGUGGCGAACGGGUGAGUAACACGUGGGUAACCUGCCCAUCAGAAGGGGAUAACACUUGGAAACAGGUGCUAAUACCGUAUAACACUAUUUUCCGCAUGGAAGAAAGUUGAAAGGCGCUUUUGCGUCACUGAUGGAUGGACCCGCGGUGCAUUAGCUAGUUGGUGAGGUAACGGCUCACCAAGGCAACGAUGCAUAGCCGACCUGAGAGGGUGAUCGGCCACACUGGGACUGAGACACGGCCCAGACUCCUACGGGAGGCAGCAGUAGGGAAUCUUCGGCAAUGGACGAAAGUCUGACCGAGCAACGCCGCGUGAGUGAAGAAGGUUUUCGGAUCGUAAAACUCUGUUGUUAGAGAAGAACAAGGAUGAGAGUAAAAUGUUCAUCCCUUGACGGUAUCUAACCAGAAAGCCACGGCUAACUACGUGCCAGCAGCCGCGGUAAUACGUAGGUGGCAAGCGUUGUCCGGAUUUAUUGGGCGUAAAGCGAGCGCAGGCGGUUUCUUAAGUCUGAUGUGAAAGCCCCCGGCUCAACCGGGGAGGGUCAUUGGAAACUGGGAGACUUGAGUGCAGAAGAGGAGAGUGGAAUUCCAUGUGUAGCGGUGAAAUGCGUAGAUAUAUGGAGGAACACCAGUGGCGAAGGCGGCUCUCUGGUCUGUAACUGACGCUGAGGCUCGAAAGCGUGGGGAGCGAACAGGAUUAGAUACCCUGGUAGUCCACGCCGUAAACGAUGAGUGCUAAGUGUUGGAGGGUUUCCGCCCUUCAGUGCUGCAGCAAACGCAUUAAGCACUCCGCCUGGGGAGUACGACCGCAAGGUUGAAACU